rnacentral:rRNA from 1 species
GAUGAACGCUAGCGGCAGGCUUAACACAUGCAAGUCGAGGGGUAACAGCAGAGCUUGCUUUGGCUGACGACCGGCGCACGGGUGCGUAACGCGUAUACAAUUUGCCUUAUACUGGAGGAUAGCCCUAAGAAAUUGGGAUUAAUACUCCAUAACAUUGCGAGGUCGCAUGGCCAUGCAAUUAAAGCUUCGGUGGUAUAAGAUGAGUAUGCGUCCUAUUAGUUAGUUGGUAAGGUAACGGCUUACCAAGACUACGAUAGGUAGGGGGCCUGAGAGGGUUAUCCCCCACACUGGUACUGAGACACGGACCAG